UUUAUUGUGGUAUGACGGAAUAUCCUAGAGGCUGUCAGAAAUAUACUAGCUAGCUAUAUAUAGGCUCUUGUAGAAGGUGGUAUUGUAAAAAUCGGUAGUUGGUACCGGAACAAAA
rnacentral:lncRNA from 1 species